rnacentral:lncRNA from 11 species
GAGAAAUAAAAUCUUCCAAUAAAAGAAGGAUGCAGAGAAAAGACAAGCAGAGAAAAGAGCCAGAAUCUCAGAACUGCUUUGAACUUUACAAUGCUUAUGGGAAAGGUCUAGAAACACUAUACUGGGUAAGUCAUAUAUGUCCCUUUCUUUCUCUCUAUUGGUG